rnacentral:rRNA from 1 species
GACGAACGCUGGCGGCGUGCUUAACACAUGCAAGUCGAACGGACAGGCCCUGCUUUUGUGGGGUGCUCGAGUGGCGAACGGGUGAGUAACACGUGAGUAACCUGCCCUUGACUUUGGGAUAACUUCAGGAAACUGGGGCUAAUACCGGAUAGGAGCUCCUGCUGCAUGGUGGGGGUUGGAAAGUUUCGGCGGUUGGGGAUGGACUCGCGGCUUAUCGGCUUGUUGGUGGGGUAGUGGCUUACCAAGGCUUUGACGGGUAGCCGGCCUGAGAGGGUGACCGGCCACAUUGGGACUGAGAUACGGCCCAGACUCCUACGGGAGGCAGCAGUGGGGAAUAUUGCACAAUGGGCGGAAGCCUGAUGCAGCAACGCCGCGUGCGGGAUGACGGCCUUCGAGUUGUAAACCGCUUUCGCCUGUGACGAAGCGUGAGUGACGGUAAUGGGUAAAGAAGCACCGGCUAACUACGUG